UACGGAGGAUGCGAGCGUUAUCCGGAUUUAUUGGGUUUAAAGGGUGCGUAGGCGGCGCCUCAAGUCAGCGGUCAAACCGGGGGGCUCAACCUUCCGCCGCCGUUGAAACUGGAGCGCUUGAGUGGGCGAGAAGUGCGCGGAAUGCGUGGUGUAGCGGUGAAAUGCAUAGAUAUCACGCAGAACUCCGAUUGCGAAGGCAGCGCACCGGCGCCCAACUGACGCUGAAGCACGAAAGCGUGG
rnacentral:rRNA from 1 species